CCCCAUUUGCAAUACCUUGGGUUGUGUACUAUUGCAAAUGGUAUGCCAUCAUAGGGGUAAUUUUCAUUCUUGGGCUACCAUAGGGUCUCAAAGGCAACGCAACCAAUCUGGUGAAUUUUAAGCCUUCUGUUUGAUGCUGUAACUUUUGAAAACUCCAUAAAACAUGUACAUGAGGGGUACUGUUGUACUCAGGAGACUUCGCUGAACACAAAUAUUUGUUUCAAAACAG